GACGAACGCUGGCGGUGUGCUUAACACAUGCAAGUCGAACGGUAAGGCCCUUUCGGGGGUACACGAGUGGCGAACGGGUGAGUAACACGUGAGUAACCUGCCCUCAUCUCUGGGAUAACAGUCGGAAACGGUUGCUAAUACUGGAUAUGAGCUUGCAAGGCAUCUUGUGGGUUGGAAAGAUUUUUUUGGUUGGGGAUGGACUCGCGGCCUAUCAGCUUGUUGGUGAGGUAGUGGCUCACCAAGGCUUCGACGGGUAGCCGGCCUGAGAGGGCGACCGGCCACAUUGGGACUGAGAUACGGCCCAAACUCCUACGGGAGGCAGCAGUGGGGAAUAUUGCACAAUGGACGGAAGUCUGAUGCAGCAACGCCGCGUGCGGGAUGACGGCCUUCGGGUUGUAAACCGCUUUCAAUUGUGACGAAGCUUUUUGUGACGGUAGCAGGAGAAGAAGCACCGGCUAACUACGUG
rnacentral:rRNA from 1 species